GAUGAACGCUAGCUACAGGCUUAACACAUGCAAGUCGAGGGGAAACGACAUCGAAAGCUUGCUUUUGAUGGGCGUCGACCGGCGCACGGGUGAGUAACGCGUAUCCAACCUGCCCAUCACUUGGGAAUAACCUUGCGAAAGUAAGACUAAUACCCAAUGACAUCCCACGAAGACAUCUGAAUGGGAUUAAAGAUUUAUCGGUGAUGGAUGGGGAUGCGUCUGAUUAGCUUGUUGGCGGGGUAACGGCCCACCAAGGCAACGAUCAGUAGGGGUUCUGAGAGGAAGGUCCCCCACAUUGGAACUGAGACACGGUCCAAACUCCUACGGGAGGCAGCAGUGAGGAAUAUUGGUCAAUGGGCGAGAGCCUGAACCAGCCAAGUAGCGUGCAGGAUGACGGCCCUAUGGGUUGUAAACUGCUUUUAUAAGGGAAUAAAGUGGGUCUCGUGAGACUUUUUGCAUGUACCUUAUGAAUAAAGACCGGCUAAUUCCGU
rnacentral:rRNA from 1 species